GCCGAGCGGCCCGGAGCCUCCUUUCGUCUCGUUCUUCCCUCAUGGUUGCACUGCGAACGGACGCGCGGGGCCCGAGGAGGCGGCUUUCCUCCCGCAGAGGCGCAGCUGCGCCCCGGCGGCUUCAACGGCCUGAGGCCGCGGUGCAGCACCGAGAGGGAACAGCGGCACUGCGAUAAAAGGCUUGUUAAUACCGCACCGUUUGUCUGCAUGGAUCAUUAAAACACCUGCAUCUUCCAGCUCAGUACUGCGCUGACCUCUGCCAAGCAAAUGAGCAAAACUGAGAGCAGAGGCAGGCCUUCAUCUGCUGCAGCACAUAAGCACACUGCCGGGGAUUCCAGCAGAGGCUUACUUCCCUCAGAUACGUAUCCACCCUGCUCUUUUUAUUCCUCCACCUUCCCUAGUCUCUGUACCAGCCUGUCAUACCCAGGUUGUAAGAUCCUGCUUUCAAACUGAGUGCCAGCACCUCUUUGUAAUAAAACAAGUACCUUGAAGGA